rnacentral:tRNA from 1 species
GUGGCUGUGGCUCAGCGGUAGAGCACUCCUCUCACAUGUGUGAGGGCCUGGGUUUGAUCCUCAGCACCAUA